GGGUCGUUAGCUCAGCUGGUAGAGCAGCGGACUCUUAAUCCGUUGGUCAUAGGUUCGAUCCCUAUACGGCCUACCA
rnacentral:tRNA from 1 species